rnacentral:rRNA from 1 species
UACGUAGGGUGCGAGCGUUGUCCGGAAUUAUUGGGCGUAAAGGGCUCGUAGGCGGUUUGUCGCGUCGGGGGUGAAAACACCGGGCUUAACUCGGUGCUGGCUUUCGAUACGGGCAGACUAGAGGUAUUCAGGGGAGAACGGAAUUCCUGGUGUAGCGGUGAAAUGCGCAGAUAUCAGGAGGAACACCGGUGGCGAAGGCGGUUCUCUGGGAAUGUCCUGACGCUGAGGAGCGAAAGUGUGGGGAGCGAACAGG